UUGACCGACCAACAUACAGGAGGAGAAAUAGAGUUCUUCCUACAAACCCUAAAUUCACUAAAUAUCAUUCAAAAUCAAAGAGAGAAACAGAAUUGAACUCGAUUCAAAGCUAAAUUCGUGAUCACCAUAGUUAGUAGAUCACAAGGCAAUUUGGGUGGAUCAUCAAGUAAUCAAGGCGGAACGAAUAAUCUUUUAAAGGGAAAGCUUUAAAGGUAACUAUGAACAUCUUUCGGAUGGCGAUCAAGUUUGCUAGAGGACCGAACACACAAACCAACGAAGCUUCCACUGCUACUUUAUAUAGUAAUGUUUAACUUUUUGGUUUUAUUUUAAUUAUGUAAUCUUUUUUUAUAUUACUAGGUUGUGGACCCCGUGUGUUACACGGAUUGAAUAAAGAAAAUAUCUCAUGUAAAUAAAGAUGAUAAAUACCAUAAAAAAUGCUUAAGAC